CAGCGUUGCGCAGUGCCCCGGCGUCGCGUUCACGUCUGGAUAACUAUUAGUAGUAACGUUUCCGCAAAGGCGGCCGUCUCGUUGGGUAACUGUUACAAGCCCUUACGUGACUUGAGGGUUUCCCCUCCCUGCUAGCGCUGGGUAAUAGCCGCUUAGUCCGCGCUGACAGCUGGAAAAAAAUCAGAAGCGGUUCGAGCAUGUAGCAGUACCGUGAGAAAUAGUUAUAUAAGAGACCACCUCUCUUUCCCGGGUGUAACAGAAUUGAAAAAUGUAAUUCAAGACCAGCAGAUCUCCCUCGCCCUAAACAACUGCCACUGCUCAAUAUCUUGGGGAGGAAAGUGAAAAUUUGAUAUGCCCUAGAAGCUGCGACAUUUACGUUCUAGACCAAGUGAAUGCCAAACUUGCAGCCGUCACUGGACACUGGCCCAAAAGUCCCUCCAAUUGAUACUGCAAAGCCCCAGCUCGUGCACCAUCGCUCAUGUCAGCUUAAGCAGCGUAAGCACCCGCUAGCCCUUAUCCAGACAUGCUCCUUUUCCACGUGAAAAAGACAGGUUUCCCGGGACCCGAAGGGAAGGAAGGAGGGACCUGCCGGUGCCGAGCUGCCCCCGGUCACGCUGCAGCCACUGGAAGGACGCAGCAAGGCUGCAGGCAGGUUUGCCUCACACCAGGGAGGAGAUGAAAAAAAUGUAAGAAACAUGGUGGCAAAAAUACUAACUCUGGGAUUUUCUAUGGAGCCGCUCGGCGCUAAAUGCUCACAUGAAAUUCGGUGGGUGUAGCUUUCCUAAACUUCGGAUUGCCUGCUUGAAACCCCCAGCCUAACAUAUUCUACUCACUAAAACCUCGGUCUCGUGAUCUUGUGACUGUUUAUUUGGCUGCUCGGAUAGGGAUCAGAGAUCACUCAAUGGCCAGGAACAAGUCACAGUGCAGGAGAGCAAGGGCAGAUGCAUUUCAAAUGCUCCUGUUGGAAAAAUAAUUACUUAACGUACAGCUGGAAAGAGCAGGUUAGAAACAAGCGCUCUUGUUAGGGCAGGGACGAAAGUACGCCUGAAAUAUGAAAACGUUUAUUCCUACUUCAAAGAAACACUUGGUAUCCAAACAGCGAUGGCACCAGGUUUGAUGAUUUCUUAAAGAAGCGGGAAAACCAUGAACGGAUUUCUGACUCUUCUUACACGUGCCGCAGAGCAGAGGCUGCGGGGAGAGCCGCCACGCCUCUCGACGCGCAAAGCAGCUGCCUUCCUCCAAGGGGCAGUUCAUAGCGCAGAGCCAGGGAUGCAUCCGGCCCGGGGACGGGGCACAGAGGACUAUUCGUGAGCAACGAGGGAAAAAACAAAUCGGCGCGAAGCCCCAAAACCCUUUGGGCGAAGGAGGAGGGCCCGGCGCGCGGG